AAACCAUUCUCCCUCCUAAGUCCAGGCGAUAGAAAAGGAAAUUUGGAGCAAUAGACAAAGUACCGCAAGGGAAAGCUGAAAAAGAGAUGAAAAAGCCCAGUAAAGCUUAAAAAAGCAGAGAUUGAAGCUCGUACCUUUUGCAUCAUGAUUUAGCUAGCACCCUCAAGCGAAGAGCCCCUAAAGUUUGAAACCCCGAAACUGGGUGAGCUACUCCAAGACAGCCUAUUAUAGGGCAAACCCGUCUCUGUGGCAAAAGAGUGGGAAGAGCUUUGAGUAGAGGUGACAGACCUACCGAACCCAGUUAUAGCUGGUUGCCUGUGAAUUGAAUAGAAGUUCAACCCCACUAGAUUCUCCAUUCAUGUACUUUAUUAACCUUCUGGAUACAAUUGAGAAACAAGGGGCGUUUAGUUCAAAGGAGGUACAGCUCCUUUGAAACAAGAUCAAACUUUCCCGGCGGGAUAAGGAUCAUACUCAAGUAAGGAAAAAUGUUUUAGUGGGCUUGAAAGCAGCCACCUUAUCAAAAAGCGUUAAAGCUUAGACAUACAAUUCUCCCUAUAUACCGAUAACCGCAUCUUAUUCCGCCCCACUUAACAGGCCCCCCUAUGCCACCAUAGGGCCGAUUAUGCUAAUAUGAGUAAUAAGAAAGUAUUAUACACUUUCUCCCCGCACGUGUGUAAAUCGGAACGGACCCCCCACCGAAUAUUAACGGCCCCAACUAAAGAGGGUACUGGAAACCACCAUAAAUACAGGCUAGAAAAACAUCCAAAACCAACCCGUUAACCCCACACUGGUGUGCCUAAUAGGAAAGACCAAAAGGAAAAGAAGGAACUCGGCAAACAUACCCCAAGCCUCGCCUGUUUACCAAAAACAUCGCCUCUUGCAUAACACUAGUAUAAGAGGUCCCGCCUGCCCAGUGACUAUUAGUUCAACGGCCGCGGUAUUUUGACCGUGCAAAGGUAGCGUAAUCACUUGUCUUUUAAAUGAAGACCCGUAUGAAUGGCAUAACGAGGGCUUAACUGUCUCCUUUUCCAAGUCAAUGAAAUUGAUCUCCCCGUGCAGAAGCGGGGAUUAACACAUAAGACGAGAAGACCCUAUGGAGCUUUAGACGUAUGGGUAGAUCAUGUUAAACACCCCUUAAUAAAGGCCUAAACUAAAUGAAACCUGCCCCCAUGUCUUUGGUUGGGGCGACCAUGGGGAAUACAAAACCCCCACGUGGAACGGGAGUACACCCCCUAUUUCUUCCUCUCCCACAAGCCAGAGCGACAGCUCUAGCCAGCAGAAUUUUUGACCAAACUGAUCCGGUAAGCCGAUCAACGAACCGAGUUACCGUAGGGAUAACAGCGCAAU
rnacentral:rRNA from 1 species